CACGUAGGGCGCAAGCGUUGUCCGGAAUCAUUGGGCGUAAAGGGUGCGUAGGCGGCGCGGUAAGUCGGGUGUGAAAUCUCGGAGCUUAACUCCGAAACUGCAUUCGAUACUGCCGUGCUUGAGGACUGGAGAGGAGACUGGAAUUUACGGUGUAGCGGUGAAAUGCGUAGAUAUCGUAAGGAAGACCAGUGGCGAAGGCGGGUCUCUGGACAGUUCCUGACGCUGAGGCACGAAGGUCAGGGGAGCAAACGGG
rnacentral:rRNA from 1 species